GAUGAACGCUAGCGGGAGGCCUAACACAUGCAAGCCGAGCGGUAUUGUUUCUUCGGAAAUGAGAGAGCGGCGUACGGGUGCGUAACACGUGUGCAACCUGCCUUUAUCUGGGGGAUAGCCUUUCGAAAGGAAGAUUAAUACUCCAUAAUAUAUUGAACGGCAUCGUUUAAUAUUGAAAGCUCCGGCGGAUAGAGAUGGGCACGCGCAAGAUUAGCUAGUUGGUGAGGUAACGGCUCACCAAGGCGAUGAUCUUUAGGGGGCCUGAGAGGGUGAUCACCCACACUGGUACUGAGACACAGACCAGACUCCUACGGGAGACAGCAGUGAGGAAUAGUGGUCAAUGGGUGCCAGCCUGAACCAGCCAUCCCGCGUGAAGGACGGCUGCCCUAUGGGUUGUAAACUUCUUUUGUAUAGGGAUAAACCUACCCUCGUGAGGGUAGCUGAAGGUACUAUACGAAUAAGCACCGGCUAACUCCGUGCCAGCCGCCGCCGUAA
rnacentral:rRNA from 1 species